rnacentral:rRNA from 1 species
AACGAACGCUGGCGGCAUGCCUAACACAUGCAAGUCGAACGAGACCUCCGGGUCUAGUGGCGCACGGGUGCGUAACGCGUGGGAUCCGGCACUUGGGUUGGAACUACCUCCCAGAAGGGGAUACAAUUGCGGAAAAAGGUCUAGGACCCAAGAAUUUAUGGCCUUGGAUGGGUCAGUAGUGGAUUAGCCUGUUGGUAGGGUAAAAAGCCACCUAGGCGACGAUUCACAGCUGGGCUGAGAGGAUGACCAGCCAAACUGGGAGUGAGACACGGCCCAGACUCCUACGGGAGGCAGCAGUGGGGAAUAUUGGACAAUGGGCGAAAGCCUGAUCCAUCAAUGCCGCGUGAGUGAUGAAGGCCUUAGGGUUGUAAAGCUCUUUUACCCGGGAUGAUAAUGACAGUACCGGGAGAAUAAGCUCCGGCUAACUCCGUG